GACGUACCAGAGCAACCCGAGAGCACUCAGCCUAUCACCUCUCCCCAGCUCCGGCUUCCUCCGUGAAGGGGCGGGGCAAAAGAACCGGUAGUCGGAUCUGGGAUUGUGGGGCAGAGGCGUUGGGAGGAAGUGGCGCAGCCCAGCCAUGGUUUACAUUUCGAACGGACAAGUGUUGGAUAACCAGAGCCGGGCUCCCUGGAGCUUCUCGUCUAUAACUGACUUCUUUUGGGGAAUAGCAGACUUCGUAGUUAUGUUUUUCCAGAGCAUUAUUCAUCCAGAUCUGACGAGAGGGUCUACAUCUUCUUCCUCUUCAAGAUAUGAUGAUGGAAGAGGACCUCCAGGGUUACCUCGUCGUAGAAUGGGCCGAAUAAGUCAUUUUGGUGGUCCAAGCCCCCCACCAAUGGCUGGAGGUGGAUGAGGAAGGUAAAUGCCUCCUUCAAAAAGGAGGCAGCCAGACAUACACAUCUGCAAAAUGGGAAGGACCUACUGAGGGAUGAACUUGAUGGGAGCCUGCAGGUUGCGAUUGUGUUGUCUGAAAAAUUCCCUGCUCUGCCAAUUGGCGGGACCAUGAUGUUGUCCUGGGAAUUCCUUAUUCUGGGAUCCAGGGCAACUGAAAAGCAGUUCUGUUAAAUUAAAUGCAUCUCUGUACUGUCUAUUUUACGCCUUUUUGUAUAGCUUGUGAAGAUUUUGUUGUCAUUGUAGAGUCCCCAGAAAUAUAUAUGGCUUUGCAAAACUCUGGCUUUGUGUCUUUAUAUAAAACAGAAAUUUUCCGGUGUUUUAAAGGCUCAUACAUCAUGGACAUGAAGAAGUAUUUUAUAAAGAGAACUUCGGUAUACAUUAAUUAUGAGAGAGUGAAUAAAAAGAUCCAUUACA